rnacentral:lncRNA from 1 species
AAGAUAUUAGCAAGCAAAAUCGAGGGAAUUGUGCAAAUGAUGAUACAAGCAUGAAAGUUACCACAAAGCAUCAUUAUUAUAUACUUUUUAAGAAAUAACUGCUGGCCAUUAAAAAAAUACUUUUUUUCAAGAUGGCCACGGCCAUUUUCUAAAAUGGCUGUUUUCUUCAGUUUGAAUAUACUGAUUUUUCUGGAAAACUUUUCUUUGAACUUCUUUUUAGUAAAGGGUGCUAUAAACAGUUUCGUAUAAAAAACUAGGGGUUAUUCCCCGACUAAAAAUAACCAUGGAGGGAAACCCCUGUUUAUUUACUCAAUUGGUGAAAAAGUAUCAUGUUUUUUUGUAUUUGAUUGUAAAAAUUAGUUAAUUAGCUUUCAAUUAAAACAGGUUGAAUGAUUGAAA